rnacentral:rRNA from 1 species
UACGUAGGGAGCAAGCGUUGUCCGGAAUCAUUGGGCGUAAAGCGCGUGUAGGCGGUGCGGUAAGUCGGGUGUGAAAGCCCUGGGCUCAACCCAGGAAGUGCAUUCGAUACUACCGUACUAGAGUCCCGGAGAGGUUGGUGGAACUCUCGGUGUAGAGGUGAAAUUCGUAGAUAUCGAGAAGAACACCGGUGGCGAAGGCGGCCAACUGGACGGUGACUGACGCUGAGACGCGAAAGCGUGGGGAGCAAACAGG